rnacentral:lncRNA from 1 species
UAAAAACUGGCAUAUUCACGGAGGAAAUGUAUUUAUUAUAUAAGUGACUUUUGCAUUCCAAUGUUAUAUCGUUCGCGAGAGAUUCUGUAUGAUAACUCCGUGAUCUUGUUUUGAAAGUUGGAAAAAAAUGCGUCCACGAGGAUUAGCUCCGAUGAGGAAGAGAAGAAGAGAGAGCAUCGUCGUACGUCGCUGGUAAUCCGAGGCAAAUUAUUUGGGCGUUCUAUUUCGAGAAGGUGCCUUUGCGAAACCCGCGCGAGCCGGGUCGGGCCUCGCUCGCCACGAUGAUGGCAGCGAUUUCGACGGCGACGUCGUCUUCACGGGACCCACGUUUUCUUUCCGAGACAAAUAAUGCGGCCGCGCGUAUCCGGUUUGCGAUCCCGUUGAAACGAAGUCAAAACGAUUUCCGUCGACCAGCGCGGACAGAAAAAUAUUUAGACGCGCAUUUUUGGAGGCUGCAUAAAAGAUGUUAGGGCGCGUUUAACGUGAUUUAUGAGUAACUAUGGACAAUGUGAGCACGCGAGCCUCAUCGCGGCAAUAAAUAUUUUCAUCAGCAGACCGAUCAAACUCGUGUAAAUCGACAAAAAUACGUAUCUCCUCCUACUUACGAGAUAGGAAUGAAUAUGGGGAAAAUACGAAG